GACGAACGCUGGCGGCGUGCUUAACACAUGCAAGUCGAACGGAAAGGCCCUGCUUUUGUGGGGUGCUCGAGUGGCGAACGGGUGAGUAACACGUGAGUAACCUGCCCUUGACUUUGGGAUAACUUCAGGAAACUGGGGCUAAUACCGGAUAGGAGCUCCUGCUGCAUGGUGGGGGUUGGAAAGUUUCGGCGGUUGGGGAUGGACUCGCGGCUUAUCAGCUUGUUGGUGGGGUAGUGGCUUACCAAGGCUUUGACGGGUAGCCGGCCUGAGAGGGUGACCGGCCACAUUGGGACUGAGAUACGGCCCAGACUCCUACGGGAGGCAGCAGUGGGGAAUAUUGCACAAUGGGCGGAAGCCGGAUGCAGCAACGCCGCGUGCGGGAUGACGGCCUUCGGGUUGUAAACCGCUUUCGCCUGUGACGAAGCGUGAGUGACGGUAAUGGGUAAAGAAGCACCGGCUAACUACGUGC
rnacentral:rRNA from 1 species